CAUCCAGUGAAACGGAAUUUAUUUUUUCGAAACGGAUCAUCAUCCAGUAUUCAUUGAUUAAUAAGCAGGUCGCUCGCCCAGAUGAACAAAAUGACCACUUUCUUUCUUUUUGCGGGCAAAAAAGAUAGUGGGCAACUACUCAAUCAAACAGCAUCUGGUUAUCUAUCGAGGACGUACGAACCACAUGUCUGAGUGUAGUGCACUGCGUAGCAACAACAUGGAACGAUAGCUUGAGCAGUUGAGCUUUUUUUGAACACGAGAAAACUUACCACAGUGCUGUCUAUGCGACCAGGCAGUCGAGUCCAUACAGCAUAUUCUCGUCGGCUACCCCUUCUCCCGCCAAGUGUGGCAUGAUCUGUUGGCCGUGUGUCGAGCCACCGUCGUCGGCGCCCCCGCUGGCCAUGAGGAGUUUCUGCCGUGGUGCGCUUCCAUCAUCUCCGCCUUGCCCACCGGGAUGCGCAAGGAGAUCGGUCCGCUCGCCAUCCUCCCCUUCCUCGUUGCUCCGGCGAGUUCGGCUCUGUUUCUGUCCUGCCUCGCUGACCCCAACACUUUUUCUUUGUAUCUAUCAAUGAAAUUAUACGCAAUCUUUGCGUAUUCGUGAAAAAAACCCUUCCCAUACUGAUCUGAUCAUCAAAUAAACCCCAUCACGUUCAAAUAACCUCAUCACGUUUAAUUAGUUAGUGGCGAGAAAUGUGAUGGGCCGAGAGCGACCUCGCUGACAGAGACAAAAACGUAUAAUCCUACCACGGUACUAGGAGAGGUUGCAGCAGUAGGCACGUCAACACCAGCCAAGGACGCCAGUAAUUUAGUUGCUCCUCGCAAAAAGAAGAAGAAAAAAGAGUUACUCGCGGUCAUGACCCUCGGUACUACGUCUCUUUCGGCCUGAGUGAUCUAUCUGGGUG
rnacentral:lncRNA from 1 species